rnacentral:rRNA from 1 species
CAGUAGCCGCGGUAAUACAGAGGGUGCGAGCGUUAAUCGGAUUUACUGGGCGUAAAGCGUGCGUAGGCGGCUUCUUAAGUCGGAUGUGAAAUCCCUGAGCUUAACUUAGGAAUUGCAUUCGAUACUGGGAAGCUAGAGUAUGGGAGAGGAUGGUAGAAUUCCAGGUGUAGCGGUGAAAUGCGUAGAGAUCUGGAGGAAUACCGAUGGCGAAGGCAGCCAUCUGGCCUAAUACUGACGCUGAGGUACGAAAGCAUGGGGAGCAAACAGGAUUAGAUACCCCGGUAGUCCCUAUCUCUUAUAC